rnacentral:lncRNA from 1 species
GCAGACGUUGAUGUACAUUACAAUAUUUACUUCCAAUCUUCUGAUUCCCUAGAGUAAGAUCCCAUUCCUAACCACCUCAGAUUCACACCAAGUCCUCUUGGUGUUCAAGGGACCGCUUACGAGCCCUCAAGUUAAGCUCAAGGCUUUGAGGUAGAGGAGGUUUCCUACCCUGACGAAAUAGAACAGCAAGAGCCCUCAUUUUCCGACAAAGAUCAAAUACCAGCAGGAAAAGU